AUUGAACGCUGGCGGCAUGCCUUACACAUGCAAGUCGAACGGUAACAGGUCUUCGGAUGCUGACGAGUGGCGAACGGGUGAGUAAUACAUCGGAACGUGCCUAGUAGUGGGGGAUAACUACUCGAAAGAGUGGCUAAUACCGCAUGAGAUCUACGGAUGAAAGCAGGGGAUCGCAAGGCCUUGUGCUACUAGAGCGGCCGAUGGCAGAUUAGGUAGUUGGUGGGAUAAAAGCUUACCAAGCCGACGAUCUGUAGCUGGUCUGAGAGGACGAUCAGCCACACGGGGACUGAGACACGGCCCAGACUACUACGGGAGGCAGGAGUGGGGGAUUUUGGACAAUGGGCGCAAGCCUGUUCCAGCAAUGCCGCGUGCAGGAUGAAGGCCUUCGGGUUGUAAACUGCUUUUGUACGGAACGAAAAGCCCUGGGUUAAUACCCUGGGGUCAUGACGGUACCGUAAGAAUAAGCACCGGCUAACUACGUGCCAGCCGCCGCGGUAAUAC
rnacentral:rRNA from 1 species